GCUUUAUUUCACUGCAAGCUCUUCUUCCAGCACCAGAUGCGUGAUUCUGCAAUGCUGCUGGCUGAAACUUCUCCAGCUCCAGAUGCGUGUUUCUUCAAUGCUGCUGGCUGAAACUUCUCCAGUCACAGGACCCAGCCCCAACAUCCAUAUCACAGCCUACAGUGAUUCCUGCACACAGAUCCUACAGUGGCAAUCCCAGUAUCAGUCCCUAUCCCAGCCCCACAGUGAUUUCAGCUCUAGCCCUGGAGAGCCCUUCCCAGCCCCAGUGAUUUCAGCUCUUGGCCCACAAGCUUUAUUUAACUGCAUGCUCUCUUCUUCCAGCUGCAGAUGCGUGUUUCUUCAAUGCUGCUGGCAGAAACUUCUCCAGCUCCAGAUGCGUGUUUCUUGAAUGCUGCUGGCAGAAACUUCUCCAGGUACAAGGCGCAGGAUCUUCCUCCUGUCUCCAGCUUGGCAACAUUUCAGCUCCCACCCUAGGGCCU
rnacentral:lncRNA from 1 species